rnacentral:rRNA from 1 species
AGUGAACGCUGGCGGUAGGCCUAACACAUGCAAGCCGAACGGCAGCACAGGAGAGCUUGCUCUCUAGGUGGCGAGUGGCGGACGGGUGAGGAAUACAUCGGAAUCUGCCCAGUCGUGGGGGAUAACGUAGGGAAACUUACGCUAAUACCGCAUACGACCUUCGGGUGAAAGAGGGGGAUCGCAAGACCUCUCGCGAUUGGAUGAGCCGAUGUCGGAUUAGCUAGUUAGCGGGGUAAUGGCCCACCAAGGCGACGAUCCGUAGCUGGGCUGAGAGGAUGAUGAGCCACACUGGAGGUGAGACACGGUCCAGACUCCUACGGGAGGCAGCAGUGGGGAAUAUUGGACGAUGGGCGCAAUCCUGAUCCAGCCAUACCGCGUGGGUGAAGAAGGCCUUCGGGUUGUAAAGCCCUUUUGUUGGGAAAGAAAUCUUUCAGGCUAAUACCCUGGGAGGAUGACGGUACCCAAAGAAUAAGCACCGGCUAACUUCGUG